GGGCGGGGCGUCAUGGCAGGGGGAGGGGCCUAAACAUUGGCCGCGCACGAUCCCUUAGUAGUUGUUUACGGGAGGCCUGAGAUGGGGGGGAGAAGGGGCGGAUUUCCCCUACAAAGCCACAAAUUCCACGUUUCAGUGGGGAAGCCUGGUCUGUCUGCUGAAGUAGAAAAAACACGCCUAAAGGCUUAGGAGGCAUGGGUUUGCCGAGGCGGGAGCCCUCUUCCUGAGCUGCUGCGUGCAGGUAGGGCAAACUUUUUUCACUGCCGGACCCAGCACUGCUUGGAAAGUGUCCAGAGCCACGGGAAGGCAGCAGGGCUUCUCCCUGUGCCAUGUAUUAAGUUGAGAGAAUGGUGGAAGGAGCGGCUUAACAGAAGCAGCAGCUUGCUAACAGGUCUUCCCACAAUAAUUAAAGGCACCGGAGCUAAGCCCCCCCCCCCCUCCCCGGGCAAUCUGAUCACCCUACUGUGAGAAUCGUUUGCUUUUAUAGCAGACAGAUGUUUUAACAGCUGCACGUCCGGAAGAAAUAAAAAGUUGAAGGGUUUUCAACCACAUAGUGGUCCCACAUCUAAAACGACUAAAAGGAAUCUAUUGCACUUUAAUCCCAUUAUAAGCAGACAAGAGACGAUCUACAGAGGUGAAAGUACAAUCCUAAAGACUGUUUCCUGCCUGGACUAAUCCCCACUGGGUACGCUUCAGUAGGCUUCUGUGUGGAACUGCUUGUUAGAAUAUUUGGCAUCUCUUGUAUUGCCAACUGGUGCAUUGCCAGCUUGCUUUCACCCUCACCUACCUCCUAGCAAUCUCCCCACUUGUGAAGAACAACAAUAAGGUGGCAGAACUCCACGUGGAAAGCAUAUUCCCAGAAAAAGGCUGCAUCCCCAACGCAAGGACGCAGUCUGACUUUUUGGUUAGGCUUGGCGGUGCUGAAACUGAGCCUCACAGCAAGCCAGUUCUGCCAUUGCAAAGGUCCACAAUGUGAGUUGACAAGAGCACCAAAAGAACAGAAGCUAAGCACAACAAGAGCUGUGUGUUCUCUUACACACCAGCAGUGAACAAGAAGGCUUAGCUGGUGUCUCCCAGUAUUUUGUGCAAGGCCAUAGAAGCUAAAAAGAGCAGAGCCAUUAAAAGUGACACCUUUCCAGAGUUAGAAGAAACCCCCGGGGAUACCAUGAAGACUGUGGGCAUCAAGUGACAGCAACUGAAAACCCACCUAAGUAGGAGCCCGGCUUGCUAAGGGGCCAGGUGGAACAAUCUGCACUCAGUGGACUGGACUACAAUCUCAAGAACACUUUCCAUGGAGUAAGUCCCACUGAAUAAAAUGGCUUUUACUAUUUGUUAAUAUUGCUCUCAUGGUGUCCUAAUACCAAAGUUGUGUUCUUUUAUACUGGUUCUACUGCUAUAUUUUUUAAAGUAGUUCAACACUUAAACUAGACACUAAGUGAAAAAAAUUUUCCCCCAACCAGUAUCUCUAUUCCAGGAAAAGCUGCUCUUUGUCUAAUUGGUGUGCCAGAUGUUGUUCAUUUGUAUGUUUUUUUCAUUUAUACUACACCUUAUUUUUCAGUGGGGAUCCAAAGAGGUUUACACUGUUCUCUUGCUCUCUAUUUUAUUCUCACAACAACCUUGCUAGAGUGACAAUGUGUGACUAGCCCAAGAUCACCCAGCUGGUUGUUAAACUAGCAAAGCUAGAAAAAUAAGGAAGUAACCAUACUUGUUGUAAUUCCAAGAUACUACUCCCAUCCUGACUUGGCCAUUUUUAUGUGUCACUGUGGUUAUUCUUGUUCCUGUUAAACACAGCAAAGCAGGGCAGGCAUUGACAUCAGAAGGAAGUGAAGAGGGGGCCAGAGGUAGCAGGUAGAGAUGCAGCAGCCACCCAUGAGCUGGUAGCAGCAUAUGCGGAUCUCCCCUGCUCCAUUUUAUCCUGACAGUCCAGUGAGGUAGGCUAGGCUGAGAGCAAGUGAGUGGCCCAUGUUUUUUUGCCAGAACCGUUGGACUUUGAACCUGUGUCUCCCCAGUCCAAAUCACUACUCUGAUCAUUGAACCACAGUGGGUCUAUUUGAACCAAGAAAUUUUUUACAAAGUGUAGCAGCCAAAUUGAGUAUGAGACCCUCAGCCAAAAUCCUCAAAUGCCUGGGGCAGAGGUGUAUCUAGGCAAACUGGAUCCCAGGGACAAAACCUGAGUUUGGCACCCCCCCCCAAGUAUGAGUGGCCACCCUCCCCCCCCAAACAAUGAUU